UACUGGUUUGAUGGAAAGAGUAAAUGGCUACUGUAAAACCACCAGCAACUCGAGCAAAAACUGCAGCAGAUGUGGGAACUGGCAGCAACCAGGCAGGUUCCGGUUGAGAAAUGCAGGUUCCUCAGAUCAGAAAAUCCAUCAGGGCACAGAGAUGACGCAGUUCCAAUAUGAUGAGUGCUUGGAGGUUGGACGGAAUCUGGAGAAUGUUCUCUCCCACUGCUAUAAAAGGCUGGGUUCCCCCAAAUCGGAUACUUGUAAGUUACAAGAGGAACCAUGACUGGAUGUAUACAGAGCUUUCUACUCUUGGUGGGCGCCAUACUUUCUUAUGCUGAGGAGACCUGCCCAGAUGUGAAAGUCAUUGGGGUGGGGGCUUCGGACUAGCUGACCAUUCUGCGAGGAUGUCCUGGGUUACCAGGAGUACCAGGAGCAGAGGGGCCUGUUGGACCUGCAGGAGCUAAAGGAGAGAAGGGAUCGCCUGGGAUUCCUGGUAAGAGCGGACCAACUGGGAUGAAAGGAGAAAUGGGAAAUCCAGGAACUAAGGGAUGAAAAGGUGACAAAGGAGACCAAGGCAUUCUAGCACAAGGAACUGCACAGAACUGUAAGGAAUGGUUGGAUCAGGGAGGUACAAUCAGCAGUUGGUACACUAUUUACACCCCCUAUGGGCUCCCUCUCUCUGUGCCCUGUGAUAUGGAAACCGAUGGAGGAGGAUGGAUACUAAGUUGGGGGGUCUUCCAGAGGCGCAUGGAUGGCUCGGUAGAUUUUUUCCGUGAGUGGGAUUCUUACAAGAGAGGAUUUGGCCAUCAAAAUGGCGAGUUUUGGUUGGGGAAUGAGAAUCUCCAUCUUCUUACAGCCACAGGGAAUUUCCAGCUUCGAGUCGACCUGACAGAUUUCAGUGAGCAGCACACUUAUGCUACAUACAGCAACUUCAGUAUAGCUCGGGAGUCCCAGAACUACACCCUGAGUCUGGGGAGUUUCACUGGAGGAGACGCAGGUGACUCCUUGUCUGGCCACAGAAACAAAGGAUUCACCACCAAAGACAGAGACAACGACUCUCACCCCACUAUUAACUGCUCCGACGAUUUCCAAGGAGGCUGGUGGUAUGACAGCUGCAUUUUGUCCAGCCUGAAUGGACUUUACCUGCCAGGCGAUCUUACUACUUACUUACGUUACAAUGGUGCCAUUUGGAGCUCGGGCAGGGGGUAUCAAUACUCAUACAAAGUGUCCACAAUGAAGUUUCGCCCCCAGUCUUAAACAUAAAAAAAAAGGAUGGUGGGACCAAGUCAAGGCUUCUAUUUAACAAUAUUGAACUGAUGAUCACCCAAGGUCAAUUUUGGGACUAGAAACCUCAGCUGUUGUGGUCCCUCUGUAGAACAGAGCAACUAGACACUGACCUGUUUGUUCAAUUGUUUAUUAAACGAGCCAUUUCCAUUGCAAAAGCCAUUAGUUUCAUUUAUACCUAAUACUUAAUGCUGCAAGCACAGAGUUGUACUAUCUAGGCUCUUAGGCCAUGAGAAAAUCCACCAGUCUUAUCUAUUAGGGCUAAAGCCACAUCGUGUCUAGUAAAUGGAGGGAGAACUGCCCAAGAGCAGAAAGUAGGGAGAAUCAAGAAGACAUAUAGGGAGCUGAUUGUUUUCAACUGCCCUGGAGGUGGGGUUAUUUCAUGGACGUCUGCCAUUAUGGAAGUGUUUAUAUAGUUCAGAAUCAUAGCACAGUUAAUAAACACUGAUCAUCUCUUAAAGACCAACCUUUAUCUUCUCAACUGAGCAUUGCUAUUAUUUCCGAGACUUGAUUUUCAUUCUUGACCAUCUUGUCCCACGUGAUAUUGUUGGGCUUUUCGAUUUAGCACCAGUGUAAUAAGAGCAGAUGUCAAGGCGCAGGUGGGGGUGGAUAGGCCACAGGCGUGGACUUAUAUGGCUACUUGGACUUAUAUGGCUACUUGAACGAUGAUGACCAACUUCUACUGCCAGUUGAGGAGCUCUGUGUUGGAUGAUAAGAGGCUUGUUUUGACUUGUACAGUACACAAACAUACAUAGAGCCUAAAUCUUGGGUCCUAGCUCCCCAAAUUAUAGUACAGGUGUAAGACCCGUUAUCCAGAAUGCUCGGGACCAAGGGUAUUCCGGAUAAGGGGUCUUUCCGUGAUUUGGAUCUCCAUACCUUAAGUCUACUAAAAAAAUCAAAAAUAAAACCUAAUAGAAUUG